GAAGAACGCUGGCGGCGUGCCUAAUACAUGCAAGUCGAACGCAGUGGGGACGGGUGAGUAACACGUGGGUCACCUCCCAUCAGAGUGGAUAACACUUGGAAACAGGUGCUAAACCGAUACUGAUGGAUGGACCCGCGGUGCAUUAGCUAGUUGGUGAGGUAACGGCUCACCAAGGCCACGAUGCAUAGCCUACCUGAGAGGGUGUCCUGGCAAACGGCGACUGAGACACGGCCAAAGAUCCUACGGGCGGCGGUCGUACGGAAUGUUGGGCAAUGGACGAAGGUCUGCCCGAGCAAUGCCGCGUGAGUUAGGAAGUUUUUAGGAUAGUAAAACUCUGUUGUUAGAUCAACGGUCUCUAUCCAGCAAGCCACGGCUAACUACGAGCCAGCAGCCGCGGUAAUUC
rnacentral:rRNA from 1 species